rnacentral:lncRNA from 9 species
AUAGACUAACCAGCAGUUAAAAUUUUUCAACACAGCAAAAAGCAGUGAGGACAAGGUUUAUUCUUUGAUCUCCAAAGGUUUGCUUCAUUGAGUCUGAUAAUGGUGCAUGACGUGAAGAAUGUGAGCUAUACUCUAGUCUCACAUUACCUGGGUUUUACUUAGUCAUCAGUGUAAUUUAUCUAAGGGCAGCCUGCUGCUAAAAAAAGAGCUCAGCUUGAAGCCUUCUAGCUUACACAGCAGGAGUCUUCUAGAAAUUUUGCCACUGGAUCGAAGUCUAAGACUAGAAGUAAAGAGGAAAUUCCUUUCACUUUAGUUUGAAGAAACAGAUGAGACUCUGGACAAAGACUGCAAGCAAAGGAAGAACCAGUCACUUCACACAGAGCAUGGGAGUUUUGGCAUCACCAGUUCCAGUGAAGAAGCAAGUAACAGCAUGGGUAUUUUAGCUCACAUAUAAAAUGAAACAAACCAGAGCGAGAGAAAGAGAAUCCUGUUUCAGUACAGAUAACCUUGGUAAGUAAAAGUGUCAGAAUGUUAAUACUCACUUGUUCUUUGAUGCACAAGUGUUACCAAGUCCACUGAUCACUGCAUGACAGACCAAUAGAUGGAGAGUUGAGGUGUUGGGACAAGGAAUAAUGACUUUAUUCAGAAAGCCAGCAGACUAAGAGGAUGGCAGACUAGUGUCCCAAAGAACCAUCUUACCCAAGUUAGAAUUCAGGCUUCUUUUAUACUAAAAAGGGAGGGGGCGUGGCUAUUGUUGCAAAAUGUUUUGGUGCAGGACUCUUUUAUUCUUCUAGCUCUCUGCAUAGGUCUGGGCACAAUUUUCCUAUAAAUCUCCAACAAGAC